UACGUAGGGGGCUAGCGUUGUCCGGAAUCAUUGGGCGUAAAGAGCGUGUAGGCGGUCCGGUAAGUCCGCUGUGAAAGUCGGGGGGCUCAACCCUCGAAUGCCGGUGGAUACUGUCGGGCUAGAGUCCGGAAGAGGAGAAUGGAAUUCCUGGUGUAGCGGUGGAAUGCGCAGAUAUCAGGAGGAACACCAAUAGCGAAGGCAGCUCGCUGGGACGGUACUGACGCUAAGGCGCGAAAGCGUGGGGAGCGAACGAGGA
rnacentral:rRNA from 1 species